rnacentral:rRNA from 1 species
GCAGUCUUGAGUGCAGUAGACGAAGUUGAAUUCCCAUGUGCUACGCGUUGAAUUGCGUAGAGAUUUGGAGGAACACCUAUUGGCGAUGGCAGCCUUUCUUGGUUCGUCACUGACCGCUGCAGGUACGAAGCGUGGGGAGCAAACAGGAUUAGAUACCUGGUAGUACACGCCGUAACCGAUGUGUACUAAGAUGCUAGGAGGCUUCGCGCCCUUUUUUUCAAAAGUUCGCGCUUUAAACACCGCCCCUGGAGUGCGGCGGCACAGUUCUAACUCAAAAGGAAUUGACCGGGGCCGCACAAACGGGUAGCACAUGGGUUAUAUUGAUACGACGCGAAGAGAACCUUCCCACGUUGACAUACCUUGAACUUACCAGAGAUGUAUGGGUGCCCUUUGGGACUCUGAUACACAGGUUGCACAUGGUGUCGUCCAAUCGUGUUGUGAGAUGUUUGGUUAAGUUCCGCAACGAGCGCAAACCCUAUCUUUUGUUGCUAGCAGGUAAUGUUGGGAACUUUAAGGAGACUGCCGGUGAUAAACCGGAGGAAGGUGGGGAGGACGUCAAGUCAUCAUGCCCCUUACGUGUAGGGCUACACACGUGCUACAAUGGCGCAUACAGAGUGCUGCGAACCCGCGAGAGUAAGCGAAUCACUUAAACCGUUUUGUAGUCCGGAUUGGAGUUUGCAAUUCGCUCCAUGAAGUGGGAAUCGUUAGUAAUCGCGUAUCAGAAUGACGCGGUGAAUACGUUCCCGGCCCUGUACACACCGCCCGUCACACC